ACGCUGGCGGCAGGCCUAACACAUGCAAGUCGAGCGGUAGAGAGAAGCUUGCUUCUCUUGAGAGCGGCGGACGGGUGAGUAAUGCCUAGGAAUCUGCCUGGUAGUGGGGGAUAACGUUCGGAAACGGACGCUAAUACCGCAUACGUCCUACGGGAGAAAGCAGGGGACCUUCGGGCCUUGCGCUAUCAGAUGAGCCUAGGUCGGAUUAGCUAGUUGGUGGGGUAAUGGCUCACCAAGGCGACGAUCCGUAACUGGUCUGAGAGGAUGAUCAGUCACACUGGAACUGAGACACGGUCCAGACUCCUACGGGAGGCAGCAGUGGGGAAUAUUGGACAAUGGGCGAAAGCCUGAUCCAGCCAUGCCGCGUGUGUGAAGAAGGUCUUCGGAUUGUAGAGCACUUUAAGUUGGGAGGAAGGGCAGUAAAUUAAUACUUUGCUGUUUUGACGUUACCGACAGAAUAAGCACCGGCUAACUCUGUGCUAGCAGCCGCGGUAAUACAGAGGGUGCAAGCGUUAAUCGGAAUUACUGGGCGUAAAGCGCGCGUAGGUGGUUCGUUAAGUUGGAUGUGAAAUCCCCGGGCUCAACCUGGGAACUGCAUUCAAAACUGACGAGCUAGAGUAUGGUAGAGGGUGGUGGAAUUUCCUGUGUAGCGGUGAAAUGCGUAGAUAUAGGAAGGAACACCAGUGGCGAAGGCGACCACCUGGACUGAUACUGACACUGAGGUGCGAAAGCGUGGGGAGCAAACAGGAUUAGAUACCCUG
rnacentral:rRNA from 1 species